UGCGGCUCCUGCAGCUGAUGAUUCAAUUCAAAGACACGUGGGCAGUCUGACCAAAACAAGAUGAAGAGCUGUUAACAUGUAUGCUACACCACGCUGCCUCACCUGCUUCAACAUCUGGUGAGUGUUUCCUCGCUCUGUGCUGCAGCU